rnacentral:rRNA from 1 species
UACGUAGGGGGCAAGCGUUAUCCGGAUUUACUGGGUGUAAAGGGAGCGUAGACGGCGGAGCAAGUCUGAAGUGAAAGCCCGGGGCUUAACCCCGGGACUGCUUUGGAAACUGUUCUGCUAGAGUGCUGGAGAGGUAAGUGGAAUUCCUAGUGUAGCGGUGAAAUGCGUAGAUAUUAGGAGGAACACCAGUGGCGAAGGCGGCUUACUGGACAGUAACUGACGUUGAGGCUCGAAAGCGUGGGGAGCAA